rnacentral:misc_RNA from 1 species
UGCGCUUUUACCUUGGACAGG